CCUACGGGUGGCAGCAGUGAGGAAUAUUGGUCAAUGGACGAGAGUCUGAACCAGCCAAGUAGCGUGAAGGAUGACUGCCCUAUGGGUUGUAAACUUCUUUUAUAUGGGAAUAAAAUGUUCCACGUGUGGGAUUUUGUAUGUACCAUUUGAAUAAGGAUCGGCUAACUCCGUGCCAGCAGCCGCGGUAAUACGGAGGAUCCGAGCGUUAUCCGGAUUUAUUGGGUUUAAAGGGAGCGUAGGUGGAUUGUUAAGUCAGUUGUGAAAGUUUGCGGCUCAACCGUAAAAUUGCAGUUGAAACUGGCAGUCUUGAGUACAGUAGAGGUGGGCGGAAUUCGUGGUGUAGCGGUGAAAUGCUUAGAUAUCACGAAGAACUCCGAGUGCGAAGGCAGUUCACUGGACUGCAACUGACACUGAGGCUCGAAAGUGUGGGUAUCAAACAGGAUUAGAUACCCCAGUAGUC
rnacentral:rRNA from 1 species